UUGAAUAUAUAAUACUGGGGAUGCUGCUGGCCAUUGUUAUGGUAAUGUGCACUCCUCUAAUAUUCAAAUCCACCUGUGCACAUAGAGUAGGCAAUGGAUUCAGUUUCCUUGCCUAUGUUUUUAUUUACACAUUUGUGAAAGAUUGUUUAUAUAUGUAUAUAUAUAUAUAAAAACAAUAUUA
rnacentral:misc_RNA from 1 species